UAUAUAACAUCAAUUUAGUAUCUGGAAUACAUUGGUAUUCAACAGAAAAUGGUACAAAAAUAUAUGUACCAGAUUUAACGGUCUAAAACAGGAAUAAAAUCACUGCUAGAAUUAACCGUAAAAUCACAAUUAAUACAAGUUUUGGCCUAUUCAAAAAUAGGUAAAGCCGCAAGGGCUAGGGUGCAAAACUUGCGAAGAGAUAAGAUUCUAUCUCUUUCACAGGAGUAGUUCCCGUGAUUGGGAUUUUCUCCCGUAAAGAGCGCCAUAGCCAUACUAGCUUGUGCACCACCGCCUUGGCUCGCCGGCUGGGCUGCGCUAGGAACGCCGGGAUGGGCGUGUUGGUGGAGCACGCGGGGCAGGUGCCACAGCCUGGAGCGGGAGUGGGCUGGCGGAGCCGGCCACGCCUCGCUCGGGCCGCGGAGGCCGGGACGCGGCGCAGAGGCCGGUGAGCGGCGCGGGGGGCAGGCGGCAGGACGAGGCGGAGCAUGCACGGCCGUGCUCGGCCGCGGAGGCCGGGACGCGGCGCAGAGGCUGGUGAGCGGCGCGGGGGCCGGGCGGCAAGGCGCUGGGUGGCCACGAGCACGGCGCGGGCGCAAGUCCGGCGGCGCGGACAGGCUCGGCGCGGACGCGGCCAGGAACGGCUACGGCCUGAUGCGGCCGGCGACGACGGCGCGAGGGCUGCAUCGCGCGCUUCGGUCGUCGAGGACGCCGACUCCCGUUGCUUUCUCUCGGCCAAAUGGCUCUUGGCUAGGAGCGUGCUGAUAACGUAUCUCUAUUAUUAAAAACACAGUUCAGCCCUUUCCUCCCCUCGCGCACCACACCGACCCAAAAACAGGGCAGAACCCACGUCCUUCACCUUUUCCCGACCCAAUCUCCAUCUCAAGAACCAGACCUCUCUCCCAAUCCAGAACUACCUAUUGGCGCCCCUCCCUGGCUCCCUCCCGUGAGUCCGCGACCACCCACGGCGGCCCAUCUCUCCCGCAGCAACCACCGCACCGGCCACCCAUCCAUCUCCUCCUCCUCUCACUCGCGCCGUAGCACCAUGCGCCGACAAAGGGGGGCCAGCCGCCGCCACCCCAGAACAUUGUGUAUGAGCAGAGGCAUGGCACCGCCGCCUCCCUAGGUCGCGACCUGUAGCGGUUAGGCUACCCCGGCGCAGCCGCCGGCUGUCCCAGCGAGGAGGACGCUUUGAAUAUGGGACCUGCAGUAUUGGAUAGAGGAAAGUUACAUCCACAGUUGGUCCGCGAGCAUGGCGAGCCUACAGCGAUGAUGAAAUAAUGCAUUGGCCCAUUGCCUGAUGAAGAAGAUGAGAGAAGUGAAGAUUAUGUACGAUGAAAUAUUACAGAUCAUGUACAUGUAACCCUGUUCAUUUCGAUGGUAUUUUAGUUCUUGUGAUUUGGCGAUUUUAACUCAUAUAUUAGACCAAUGAUGACAAUUUCUUUUUGUUCAUAUAGAACAUGGGAAACACUUCCCUUAAAUAUAGUUUAUCCAUAUAUCGCCUUACUUUUCAAUAGUUAUAAGAUAUGUCACAUUGGUUGUUUCCUUCGUUUUGAGCAAACAUUAGUUCAAAAUGAUUAAUCUAGACACUGGUUAACAUAAUUUGGGCUUGGCACCUUAGCAUAUAUCCAAGGUCCAAACUCGGAUGCUACACAAGGAUUUCUGUAUGCGGAGGCUAGCUUCAGCAGAAAAAUUAUAUUGAUGAUGACGAUGAUGAGCUGGAGAAGGUGAGUGGUGGUGGCCACCUCCUCCCUCCUAAGCACUAUCACUCAUUGAUGUCUAUGUACAGGGCGACCUUGUUGCUACAUCAUCGCUGGCCACACCCACCUCGAUCUGUGUCUUCACUGACCUCCCUACCUACAACGUUUCUUCUCAUCACGCGAGUACUAUUUUCGGCUCGGAUUGUGAGAAUAUGAUUAUAUCGUAAUUGAACUAUAGUGCCUCUGUAUAUGUUAUUUGAAAUUCCAGUUUAAUCAAUUCUGGUAGUUCAUUGCCGCGAUUUGCACAUUUAAUCUUUAUUACUGCAGUUUCUUUCGAUAAACUGGUUCAUAUCUUAUAGUCUAAAAAACUGGUUCAUAUCAUUAUCGGUACUGACUCAGCGAAAAGUUUUCAUGAUCUGAUAUGGAUCUCAAUUCUGAUUGUGAAAAGUAUUCUAGCUCUGAUAUGGAUCCAUGUUCUGAUUUUGUGUGAAAAGUUUUCUUUCGUAACUUUUCUCUUUACUACUGAAAUGGAUAUUUUGCUCUGUUUUGAUGACCCCUAGCGAUGCACAGCUCUGUUUUCAUGACUCCGCCACCAGGGAGCUCUUGGUUGCACUGCAAUCAGCGAGGCCUUGUCAACCCGCUGAUGCCACUUAACCUCUAUGUCCUCUCAUUUCUCAAGAUGGAUAGUUUUGUGCAGUUGCAGGCCAAACCUGUGAAAUCCGAGGCUUAUCACAGGAUGGUGAUCAUGGUCUAUAAGCUUUUGAGAUGUUGUCUUGGCUCCUCCUUUACAAACAACAUUUAUGAUGAUAUGCCUCUAAGGGUUGUAGUUAAGAGUUGAUGAGUGUUGUUUUCCAUGCUAUUCUUUGUCCCUUGUGCUGGUAGUUGAGAGGAGGGAGAGGGAGAGAGAGAUGGAGGGACAUCAAAGAGGAGUGUGUAACCACAUAGGAAGACACGGUUAUGUUGCAGCCAGUAGAGACGUGGUUUUGUGUGCAAGUCGACGCAAACCUGCUGUUGUGAUGGUUGGGGAGCCAAGGUAGCAGCAAGCAGUGCCUUUACGCUGGAUCAUGCAGUCUGGUUGUGGGUUGCCAGAGCCCAUGGACCUGUCUUCCCCAUGGGUGUGGGCGAGUCACACACAACACCGGGUGUUUACUUUCCUUCAGUGAAUUGAAAGCAAGAAAAGAAAAACAUGAGGAAUGUUUGUUUGUCCAUGUUGCCCGAUCCUGAUCAUGUUAGUUUGUGAAGAAAAACAAAACACCAUGUCACUGUAAUGCUUUAAAUAUUUUAUCUUUUAGUUGUUUAUUUUAGAACAAACCUUAAUUCAGCAGGGUGUUUGAAGGUGA